AUUGAACGCUGGCGGCAUGCUUUACACAUGCAAGUCGAACGGCAGCACGGGUGCUUGCACCUGGUGGCGAGUGGCGGACGGGUGAGUAAUACAUCGGAACGUAUCCUGAAGUGGGGGAUAACGCAUCGAAAGAUGUGCUAAUACCGCAUAUACUCUGAGGAGGAAAGUAGGGGAUCGAAAGACCUUAUGCUUUUGGAGCGGCCGAUGUCUGAUUAGCUAGUUGGUAAGGUAAUGGCUUACCAAGGCAACGAUCAGUAGUUGGUCUGAGAGGACGACCAGCCACACUGGGACUGAGACACGGCCCAGACUCCUACGGGAGGCAGCAGUGGGGAAUUUUGGACAAUGGGCGCAAGCCUGAUCCAGCAAUGCCGCGUGAGUGAAGAAGGCCUCGGGUUGUUAAAGGCUCUUUCAGUUGAGAAGAAAGAUAGUAACUAAUAAUUAGCAAU
rnacentral:rRNA from 1 species